UGUGUAUCCUCUCCUGAGCUGGCCUGCUCUAGAUCCAGCACUUGACCUUCCUGAAGCAGGGAACAGCCUGUGUCUCCAGGCAGACCCUGUGGCCAGGCUCUGUGUUGCAUCCUCAUUACCGUCAUCUCUGCAGGCUGCGGGACCUCAUCGCUCUGCCUGAAUAUUCCUUUCCCUCUCUGCUGCAAUUCUGCACUGCCACCGUGAUCCUCCAGGUCCUUGCCUUGCUUCUCCAGAGAUGACGGCCUGGCUGGGCCGCACCCUGCAGGCGCUCUUCCCCAGCGCAGAUGCCCUGCUGUGUCCUGACAGUCCCGCGUUACCCUCGAUCUGAAGGUGUGGAUAAUUAAGAAAGCCAGCUUCAAAGAUGUUGGCGUUACAAGAUGGAAGGUGUUGAGGUCCCUGAGUCAUGUCUUGGAGAAGAGCUGCCCAGCAGAGCUGUCCAUUUGCAUACAACUGUGGUGUGAGCAGAAAAUAAAACUUAAUGCCACUCUGGUUUGGUGUUGUUUGUUGCAGCAGUUAAUGU